rnacentral:ncRNA from 1 species
UUACACUUCAAAACAAACAAAUGAACACAAUUUUAAAUCAUACUUGGUGGUGGAACUUCAAGAUUUCAAUCUUCGUGAAGUAAACCCUUAGUAUAUUUAAUUUAAAAUAUUUAAAAAAGGCUUGUC